UUCUUGCAAGGGGACCCAGUGUCAGAAGAGAUUGGGGAAGAUGUCUCAACUCCAGCCAGAAGGAAGGACCUGACUGAAGCAACCUGCAUGGAGGGGCAAGAAGCUGUAAGAAAAAGAGGCUUGAAAAAAACAGCAGGAGUUGGGUUUUGACAAAGAACUGUUGAGCCCAGCAAAGGGCUGUGAAACUGAUAGUCAGGGAGAGGCUUGUUUUGAAACUCUACCCUCAUUUGGAUUCAAUCACUGCCUUCUCUGACUCCUCUGGUCUUCAGGCCUGACAAUACUGGCAACAGUCACCCUCUUCACCCAUCCAGAGAAUUUUGCUGAGCUACAGGAUUAAUCACACCAGCUAGCUCUCUUGUUGGCCUGGCCUCGGUCAUGAAAUUCUAUCAUCUCUAAGGACACAAUUGUUGACAACUGCAAUCUGUCAU